AUUGAACGCUGGCGGCAUGCCUUACACAUGCAAGUCGAACGGCAGCACGGGAGCUUGCUCCUGGUGGCGAGUGGCGAACGGGUGAGUAAUACAUCGGAACGUACCCUGAAGUGGGGGAUAACGUAGCGAAAGUUACGCUAAUACCGCAUAUUCUGUGAGCAGGAAAGAGGGGGAUCGCAAGACCUCUUGCUUUAGGAGCGGCCGAUGUCGGAUUAGCUAGUUGGUGAGGUAAAGGCUCACCAAGGCGACGAUCCGUAGCGGGUCUGAGAGGAUGAUCCGCCACACUGGGACUGAGACACGGCCCAGACUCCUACGGUAGGCAGCAGUGGGGAAUUUUGGACAAUGGGCGCAAGCCUGAUCCAGCCAUGCCGCGUGAGUGAAGAAGGCCUCGGGUUGU
rnacentral:rRNA from 1 species